rnacentral:pre_miRNA from 1 species
UGACCUUAUACCUUGAGGGACAUGAAGAUAGUCAGUAGUCCAAUGUCCCUCUUGAUGGCACAUUUCACA